rnacentral:rRNA from 1 species
AUUGAACGCUGGCGGCAGGCCUAACACAUGCAAGUCGAGCGGUAGCACAGAGAGCUUGCUCUCGGGUGACGAGCGGCGGACGGGUGAGUAAUGUCUGGGAAACUGCCUGAUGGAGGGGGAUAACUACUGGAAACGGUAGCUAAUACCGCAUAACGUCACAAGACCAAAGAGGGGGACCUUCGGGCCUCUUGCCAUCAGAUGUGCCCAGAUGGGAUUAGCUAGUAGGUGGGGUAACGGCUCACCUAGGCGACGAUCCCUAGCCGGUCUGAGAGGAUGACCAGCCACACUGGAACUGAGACACGGUCCAGACUCCUACGGGAGGCAGCAGUGGGGAAUAUUGCACAAUGGGCGCAAGCCUGAUGCAGCCAUGCCGCGUGUAUGAAGAAGGCCUUCGGGUUGUAAAGUACUUUCAGCGGGGAGGAAGGUGUUGAGGUUAAUAACCUCGGCAAUUGACGUUACCCGCAGAAGAAGCACCGGCUAACUCCGUGCCAGCCGCCGCGGUAA